rnacentral:rRNA from 1 species
GUGGCGAAAGGGUGAGUAACGCGUGGGCAACCUGCCCCAAAGCUGGGGAUAACUCUUCGAAAGGGGAGCUAAUACCGAAUGUGGUCUUCUGGCGCAUGUCAGAACGAUCAAAGGUGGGGAUCCUUAGGGACCUGCCACUUUGGGAGGGGCCCGCGUGCCAUCAGCUUGUUGGUAAGGUAACGGCUUACCAAGGCUUACGGCUAGCUGGUCUGAGAGGAUGAUCAGCCACACUGGGACUGAGACACUGCCCAGAUUCCUACGGGAGGCUGCAGUCGAGGAUCAUUCGCAAUGCGCGAAAGCGUGACGAUGCGACGCUGCGUGGAGGAUGAAGGCCUUCGGGUCGUAAACUCCUGUCAUUCGGGAAAAACGAUUCCAUGUUGAAUAGGCAUGGAAAGUGAUGGUACCGAAAGAGGAAGCCACGGCUAACUCUGUGCCAGCAGCCGCGGUAAUACAGAGGUGGCAAGCGUUGUUCGGAUUUACUGGGCGUAAAGCGUGCGUAGGUGGCUUUGUGUGUCGGGUGUGAAAGCCCACGGCUCAACCGUGGAACUGCAUUCGAAACUGCGGAGCUAGAGUACAGGAUGGGAGAGCGGAAUUCUUGGUGUAGCGGUGAAAUGCGUUGAUAUCAAGAAGAACACCGGUGGCGAAGGCGGCUCUCUGGAAUGUUACUGACACUGAGGCACGAAAGCUGGGGGAGCGAACAGGAUUAGAUACCCUGGUAGUCCCAGCCGUAAACGGUGUGAACUUGGUGUUGGGGGUAUUGACCCCCCCAGUGCCGGAGCUAACGCGUUAAGUUCACCGCCUGGGGAGUACGGCCGCAAGGCUAAAACUCAAAGAAAUUGACGGGGGCCCGCACAAGCGGAGGAGCAUGUGGCUUAAUUCGAUGCAACGCGAAGAACCUUACCAGGGCUUGACAUCCAGCUGCACGCCCCGUGAAAGCGGGGAAGCCUUUGAGGGUGCUGGACAGGUGCUGCAUGGCUGUCGUCAGUUUCGUGCCGUGAGGUGUUGGGUUAAGUCCCGCAACGAACGCAACCCCUGUGUUUAGUUGCUACCGGGUUAUGCCGGGCACUCUAAACAGACUGCCUGUACAAGCAGGAGGAAGGUGGGGACGACGUCAAGUCAGUAUGGCCCUUACGCCCUGGGCUGCACACGUGCUACAAUGGUCAGUACAAAAGGAAGCAAUACCGCGAGGUGGAGCAAAUCCCCAAAACUGGCCCCAGUUCGGAUUGGAGUCUGCAACUCGACUCCAUGAAGCCGGAUUCGCUAGUAAUGCCGUAUCAGCUACGACGGCGUGAAUACGUUCCCGGGCCUUGUACACACCGCCCGUCACAUCAUGAAAGCCGUCUGCACCCGAAGUCGCUGAGCCAACCCGCAAGGGAGGCAGGUGCCGAAGGUGUGGGAGGUGAUUGGGAU